rnacentral:SRP_RNA from 1 species
GGCCCCGCACAAUGAGACACUUCGAACCGUGUCAGGCCGGGAACGGAGCAGCACUAAGGAGACCGUUUCAUGUGAUGCGGUC